ensembl:lncRNA
CCCGAACCGAAGGCGCUCAGACACACACAUUCCAUAUAGGUUCACUUUAGCCUCCUGUGUAUCGUACACACAAUAACCUUUUAGAACAAGAAUAUUGAAUUCACCGAGGGUAUGAAUAAAUUAAGUCACUGAUAAGAUCUAAUUAUGUCAGAUAUUUUGGCUGGUCAAAUGGAUAGUAUUACACACUUGUUCUACUUUAAUAGUCAGAAUUCCACAAGGAGGCUUUGUAGUUAUAUUACGUUUAAACUUCAAGUCAAUGCACCUUCUAAUGAAGUUAAUUGUGUCGCCGGUGGGUGUUUUCUGGUCAUCAGUACCAGCGUAUUUACCCCCGCUUCAGUGAGUUUAUCUUGUGUUUAUUGCUGCUCAUACAAGCACCGAAAGGCCUUCUACAGCUGCUGUGGGGCGGUGGAUGUCUGCUAUGGCCGAUGAUACCUCAUUUCAGAUGCCCAGCAGGUGUCGUGUGCUGUUGUGAGUGUGAGUUUCACAAAUUUGGCCUAGCGGAGCAUCACUGCAUGCAAGCACAUGACAGCGCCCAGCUGCAGGGGAGACCCAAAGGACAACAGUAUAAAGUGGUGCAUUUGAAAGCAGAGCUCUUUUCACUGCAGCGUCUCGCUUUGCAAACAUGACACCAGAGGCUCGGGACAGAUGCUGCUCCCUCCAGAACUCCGCGCUCAUCAUUUUAGCCAAGUAGCUGUGACCUGGCGCCGACGCCACAAAACAGGACAAGUAAUUUAAUUUGCCACUGCUGCUGACCUUGAAGCAUUGAAUGUAGGCCGACAGAAUCCCAAUAGGAAAUCUGGAAGAAAAACAUCCUGGGAGCUGAAAUAGCGAUCAGGCUGUUCCGCCUGCAGCAUCACACACAGUCUCGUCACCUCUACAGGGAAACUUUUGUCCUUCAGCUUUGCAUGAAGAAUGUUAAUUUACAGGUGAUGAUCCCGACUGAGCUUUUCAUUUAACAAGGAGCUGCAAGGAUUUCCAGAGAACUGCACUGUGGAGGUCCUUAGUGUAGUCAGGAAUGCUGCAAUGCCACUUGCAGACUGCAGAGUCCAGGGAGCCCUAAAAAGGAAGGAGUCUCUCUCUGAUUCCCGGCAGCUUGGCGAGCAGCGGAGGCUAAAUUAGGCCUGGUUUCAUUGACUUUCAAUCCCCAGGGUGGCUGCCGCCCUGCAGCCCAGAGGAUGAGAGAUGGGGGGCCUCGGAUGCUUCGUCGGAGCUUCUCCAGACACUGACUGGGAAGGUUGGAGUGUCAGAUGGAGGGACGAUACGGCUCGGAUUGAGAUCGGUUGCAUCUUCUGUUAACAUUCUAAGUUAACGGAAAAGAAACACGGAUAACAUGGAAGGUUCUGUGAUGUUUUUCAUUUUGAAACCAAAAAUCAUAAACUUGAGUUAUAACAUAUUGUGUUGCUUGUGUACAAUAAGUACAAUAAGUAUAUGUGUUUUGGGAUAAAAUCUGCUAUGUUACUGCUCCUCCGUGCACAUCCACAGAGACAGGUGAAGAAAACAGUCAGCUUUGAGGAGCUCGAAAAGGUUAGUUGUCCUCGAGUAGAAGCCUGUAUUUGAGUGUGUAUUUUAUUUUAUUCCUCGUACACUGUUGUCUUGUCGUCCAUUGUCGUACUGUCUGCUGUUAUGCACCAACCGCCAAGUCAAAUUCCUUGUAUGUCUGACAUAUUAUGGCAAUAAAUGUUUCCUGAUUCCUGAAAGACACCACACGUGUCCAUGUCAGCUUGUGUCUGUAAGGGUUGCAGGGGGAGAGAAUGAUUCUUUUGAAUCAUCUUAUGAUAUAUAUAUAUAUAUAUAUAUAUAUCCAACCCCCUGGGAUUGGAACCUCUGCUUGAGGUUAUAAUACAUUUCAUAGUGACUAAAUAGUGCACAUUCUAAAGGACAUUUUCAUAUUAUAUAUCAAAUUAUCUAAUGC